rnacentral:tRNA from 1 species
GCCGAGAUGGUGUAAUUGGUAGCCACGCUGGUCUUAGGAGCCAGUGCCGCAAGGCGUGCGAGUUCGAGUCUCGCUCUCGGCA